UACGGAGGGUGCGAGCGUUGUUCGGAAUCACUGGGCGUAAAGGGCGUGUAGGCGGUCCGCUAAGUCUGAUGUGAAAGCCCGGGGCUCACCCCCGGAAGGGCAUUGGAAACUGACGGACUCGAGUCCCGAAGAGGAGGGUGGAAUUCCUGGUGUAGCGGUGAAAUGCGUAGAUAUCUGGAGGAACACCGGUGGCGAAGGCGGCAUCCUGGACCAUUACUGACGCUGAGGAGCGAAAGCCAGGGGAGCAAACGGG
rnacentral:rRNA from 1 species